rnacentral:rRNA from 1 species
UACGAAGGGGGCUAGCGUUGUUCGGAAUUACUGGGCGUAAAGCGCGCGCAGGCGGUCUUCCAAGUCAGUGGUGAAAGUCCGGAGCUCAACUCCGGAACUGCCAUUGAAACUGUUGGACUUGAGUACGAGAGAGGUGAGUGGAAUUCCCAGUGUAGAGGUGAAAUUCGUAGAUAUUGGGAAGAACACCAGUGGCGAAGGCGAGUCCCUGGACAACUCCUGACACUGAGGCACGAAAGCUAGGGGAGCAAACAGG